rnacentral:rRNA from 1 species
CGGGUUGGGAGCUACCAUGCAAGUCGAACGGCAGCACGGACUUCGCGUCGCGGCUGGCGGUGGCGACGGGUGAGUAAUGGAUCGAAACGUGCCAAUCCACUUUUUCAUAGCUACACGAAAGCGUAACUUAUACCGCAAACCCCCUACGGAGGAAAGCAGGAGAUCGCGAGACCUUGCACUAUUGCAGCGGCCGAUAUCGGAUUAGCUAGUUGGUGGGGUAACGGCUCACCAAGGCGACGAUCCGUAGCUGGUUUGAUAGGACGACCAAGAUGACUGGGACUGAGACUGGCCCAGACUCCUACGGGAGGCAGCAGUGGGGAAUUUUGGACUUUGGGGGAAAGCCUGAUCCCCCCAUCCCGCGUGUGCGAUGAAGGCCUUCGGGUUGUAAAGCACUUUUGCCCUUAAAGAAACAAAUGGGUUAAUACCCCGUGACCCUGACGGUACCUGCAUAAUAAGCACCGGCUAACUACGUGCCUGCAGCCCCGGUAAUAAGGUAAUA